GACGAACGCUGGCGGCGUGCUUAACACAUGCAAGUCGAACGGAAAGGCCCUGCUUGCAGGGUACUCGAGUGGCGAACGGGUGAGUAACACGUGGGUGAUCUGCCCUGCACUUCGGGAUAAGCCUGGGAAACUGGGUCUAAUAUCGGAUAGGAGCCAUUUUUAGUGUGAUGGUUGGAAAGUUUUUUCGGUGUAGGAUGAGCUCGCGGCCUAUCAGCUUGUUGGUGGGGUAAUGGCCUACCAAGGCGGCGACGGGUAGCCGGCCUGAGAGGGUGGACGGCCACAUUGGGACUGAGAUACGGCCCAGACUCCUACGGGAGGCAGCAGUGGGGAAUAUUGCACAAUGGGCGCAAGCCUGAUGCAGCGACGCCGCGUGGGGGAUGACGGCCUUCGGGUUGUAAACUCCCUUCGCUAGGAACGAAGCUUUUUGUGACGGUACCUAGAUAAGAAGCACCGGCUAACUACGUGCCAGCCGCCGCGGUAA
rnacentral:rRNA from 1 species